CUGAGAGGAUGACCAGCCACACUGGAACUGAGACACGGUCCAGAUUCCUACGGGAGGCAGCAGUGGGGAAUAUUGCACAAUGGGCGCAAGCCUGAUGCAGCCAUGCCGCGUGUAUGAAGAAGGCCUUCGGGUUGUAAAGUACUUUCAGCGGGGAGGAAGGGAGUAAAGUUAAUACCUUUGUUCAUUGACGUUACCCGCAGAAGAAGCACCGGCUAACUCCGUGCCAGCAGCCGCGGUAAUACGGAGGGUGCAAGCGUUAAUCGGAAUUACUGGGCGUAAAGCGCACGCAGGCGGUUUGUUAAGUCAGAUGUGAAAUCCCCGGGCUCAACCUGGGAACUGCAUCUGAUACUGGCAAGCUUGAGUCUCGUAGAGGGGAGUAGAAUUCCAGGUGUAGCGGUGAAAUGCGUAGAGAUCUGGAGGAAUACCGGUGGCGAAGGCGGCCCCCUGGACGAAGACUGACGCUCAGGUGCGAAAGCGUGCGGAGCAAACAGGAUUAGAUACCCUGGUAGUCCACGCCGUAAACGAUGUCGACUUGGAGGUUGUGCCCUUGAGGCGUGGCUUCCGGAGCUAACGCGUUAAGUCGACCGCCUGGGGAGUACGGCCGCAAGGUUAAAACUCAAAUGAAUUGACGGGGGCCCGCACAAGCGGUGGAGCAUGUGGUUUAAUUCGAUGCAACGCGAAGAACCUUACCUGGUCUUGACAUCCACAGAACUUUCCAGAGAUGGAUUGGUGCCUUCGGGAACUGUGAGACAGGUGCUGCAUGGCUGUCGUCAGCUCGUGUUGUGAAAUGUUGGGUUAAGUCCCGCAACGAGCGCAACCCUUAUCCUUUGUUGCCAGCGGUCCGGCCGGGAACUCAAAGGAGACUGCCAGUGAUAAACUGGAGGAAGGUGGGAAUGACGUCAAGUCAUCAUGGCCCUUACGACCAGGGCUACACACGUGCUACAAUGGCGCAUACAAAGAGAAGCGACCUCGCGAGAGCAAGCGGACCUCAUAAAGUGCGUCGUAGUCCGGAUUGGAGUCUGCAACUCGACUCCAUGAAGUCGGAAUCGCUAGUAAUCGUGGAUCAGAAUGCCACGGUGAAUACGUUCCCGGGCCUUGUACACACCGCCCGUCACCCCAUGGGAGUGGGUCGCAAAAGAAGUGGAAGUC
rnacentral:rRNA from 1 species